AUAUGCCAAACACCAUGCAAAGGCCUGUUCCCCAUGUCGUGUCGAUCAUUCAGUCAUCGACUCGUCAGGCCACUUGUAACACUWCUUUCAACUUUGUUAUUGAACUGCCCAUACGAGCGUAAGGAGAGAGCCUACCAGUUUGCUGGUACUCGAUUCACUUUGCGUGUAGAUUUGCCGCACUUGYUGUGGUAGUCUAAUGUAGGGGGCUUCUGACACURCCUGUCAGUCAAGCACCUGAGCACUGUGUCRCAUCGAUGCACCAAGCGCUUAAAGCUGUGCGCGUCUCCAUUACAAUCAGACUCYGAUGAAGCACUCGUAACGAUGAACUGUGUUUACACUAAAACUUUGCAUACUGCACAUUGAUUUG
rnacentral:misc_RNA from 1 species